rnacentral:tRNA from 1 species
UAAUAAGAAACAAAUUUUGUAUUUAAUUUCGACUUAAAAUUUAAUGAUAACUCAUUCUUAUUUU